rnacentral:rRNA from 1 species
CCACGGGUUGCACCAGUGGGGAAUUUUGCGCAAUGGGCGAAAGCCUGACGCAGCGACGCCGCGUGGAGGAAGAAGGUCUUCGGGUUGUAAACUCCUUUAGUACGGGAAGAAGCCUUCGGGUGACGGUACCGUAAGAAUAAGCCACGGCUAACUCUGUGCCAGCAGCCGCGGUAAGACAGAGGUGGCAAGCGUUGUUCGGAUUUACUGGGCUUAAAGGGCGUGUAGGCGUCCUGACAAGUCAGAUGUGGAAGCCUUGGGCUCAACCCAAGAAGUGCAUUUGAAACUGUCAGGAUUGAGUCAUGCAAGGGAAGGCGGAAUUCCUGGUGUAGCGGCGAAAUGCGUAGAUAUCAGGAGGAAGGCCGGUGGCGAAGGUGGCCUUCUGGGCAAUGGCUGACGCUGAGGCGCGAAAGCGUGGGGAGCAAACAGGAUUAGAUACCCGUGUAGUC